ensembl:lncRNA
GUUUGCAGUAUACAUAUAUCUGAGCAUUCAUCUUUCUGAUAGCAAACUUCUCAAGGAUUUUUUUCUCCUAUUAGAGGUCGCAGUAAGGGUUUGCAACCAAUUUGCACUGUCAGAAGAAAAGCACUGGAUGGAGCCGAAAGAGGAGUGUAGUGCUGGAGACUCUUGAGAGUCCCUUGGACAGCAAGGAAAUCAAACCCUAAAGGAUAUCAAUCCUGAAUGUUUAUUGGAAGGACUGAUGCUGAAGCUCCAAAACUCUGACCACCUGAUGAGAAGAGCUGACUCAUUAGAAAAGACCCUGAUGCCAGGAAAGAUUGAGGGCAAAAGGAGAAGGCAGCGGGAGAGGAUACGAUGGUUAGAUAGUAUCACCAACUCAAUAGACAUGAGUUUAAACAAACUCUGGGAGAUGGUUAAGGACAGAGAGCCUGGCAUGCUGCAAUCCAUGGGGUCUCAAAGAGUCAGACACCACUGAGUGACUGAACAACACUACUCUGAGGUGGCCAGGGACAGUAACUGUAUUACUUCAUCCUUAUAUCCCCAAUCCUGGGCACAGAAUAAGCUCUCAAUAAAUACAUGUUGAAAACUGAAGAAGGAUGAUCAAUUAGAUAGAUAUGUGAUUUAAUUUAAAAUAUCCCAACUCACAAAUGUCACAUGUUAUUAAAGGAAAUCUGUUUCUGAUUUGUUUUGUGGGUGUGGUUCACCCAGCAUUGGUGACACAUCGGGAAAGAUAACAAACAGACUGAGAACAAGCUGCAAAAAGUGAUCUCACUGUAAACAGCAUGGGUGGGCCCGGUAGGUCAGUUCUCAUACAAGCACAGUCAUCAUAGAAAGCUGUCAUAUGACUAAGAACUGCGAACAGAAAUCAAAGAGAUUUCAUCAUUAAACAAAUAGGAAACAUCAAAUAGGUAAUGGAAAAUGCUGAAUGAGGAUAGGAAGAAACAUUUUUAGUUAUUUUUAUAACUUUCUGCCCUUUCAAUCCUUUUCACAUAUUGACCUCUCUCUCUUCCUAUUCCCCUUGCCCUCUUCCAUCCCUACCUUACAAGGCAGGGAUGUUUCCCUCUGAUCCAUUCAAGAGCACCAUCUCUGGAGGUUAAGUAACUUGCCCAAGAUCACCUAAGAAGAGACAGAGCCAAGAUUUGAAAAAUUGGACACCAGAGCUGGUGGCUAUUACCAUUCUACUAAACUAGAUGAUGCAGUAGUUACAUGGCAGGAUAAAAGCAAAUGCCUUGAAGUUGCCAUGGGUUUUUCCGCUAUUCUGUCACUAAGCAGCAUUAUCCUUCAACUAAAAGAUUCCAAGAUGUCAACCUUCCUCACCAGAAAAAGCCCCCUAAAUGUUUCCAAAAUAUUCAAAGAAAUUUGAAACAAGAAAACACCAAAGAUCCAGGAAUCUCCAGGAAUAAAGAAUAGAGGUGGGAGGGGAGAGGGUGAGCAUUUUACCCACCCACUUAACCUCAUUCAUAAAAUGGGAAUAAUAAUGAUGUGUAUUUUGUAGGUUUCCAUAGAAUUGAAUAAGUUCAUUAAAACACUUAGAAUAAUGUUUGGCACACUAUAAGCAUUUAAUAACAAGUUAACUAUCAUUUAUCUUUUUUCUAUCAGGGAUAGUGGAUUGUUUUCUUUUCUGAUAUUUUUUCUAAAAAAUAUUUCAAUACAGCUACAUGUUUUCAAUUCCUGUCACCCAAAAAUGUGAUUUCUAGCAUGUACUUACAUUUUUUAAAACUCUAUAGAACUUAUUUGGAUAUUCCAUGUUGUAAAACAACACAGCUCACCUCACUCUUUUAACUAGGAAUUUAUAUUGCUUUAACAAAAAUGAAUUAAAAGAUUAUCGAUCUUGUUGCAAAGGCAGAAUAGUGAGAUGCUUAAAAGCUCAGACUCUGGCAUUCUAACUCUAGAAGAAUCCCAGUUCUUCCACUCACUAGCAGAGUGACUUUGGGCAAAUUAUCUACCCUCUGUAUACCUCAGUUUUCUCACCUAUAAAUUAGGAUACUAAAAAUAGUAUCUACUUCAUAGACUUCUUAUGAGGACUAAAAAGUCAUUUCAAGUAAAGUUCUAGGAAUAUACCUUGUACAUAGCAUGCACUUAUAUGAGUUUUUAUUUCUCCUAUAUUUUGUCCAUAUAGUUGGAAAAUGUAUUUUGCCAAUUGAUUUUUUAACAUUUAGCAGCAAAAUGUCCAUAGGGAAACAUUCAAAUUCCCCUACUCUAAAUGCCUAAAAUAUAUUUAACAGGUGGUUGAAAUUCAGACCUUUCUAACUAUCUGCCUAAUUUUAGUAUAUUAUAAUUAUUGCUUUAAUUCUAUUUUAAUCCUCAGAUACUUUGUUCAGGGUAGUUGCCGUUUACUGUCUCAGCCUGUUACUUUUCCUAAAACUCAUGCUCAAGUUUAAAUUUGUUUAUAUAAUUUUAUAUUAAGCCCCUUUCUAUCAAAGCAAACUCUUAAGGUAUAGUAAAUGGUAAUAAAUGCUUAGAAUAUUUUAUCUGUUUGUACAGACUCUGCUAAACAUCAUAAGGCUUAGAGCUCAAAAAUUAAAAUACAUGUAUAUAUUUUUAAAUUUUAUGCUUAACCACUGUUUAUGAGUGUUGAAGUUAGCAACAGUCUCAAAUCAAGCAGAGAAAUAUGCUUGUGACUCAUCACAUUUUCAUGCUGCUUAAUUUUUAGGCUUCCUGUGUGAAUUAGCUAAGAGAUACAGCAAUUUAAAUAAUAAUGACUAAAACCUUUUCUAUUUCCUGUUUAAUUUCUUUCUGAAGGAAAGUAUUGGUGUUUGAAUAGUUCUCAGAUGUUCUCUAUAUAAAGAAAACCAGGGAAUUAGAAUUCUCUUAACAAGCAUAUUUUCUAGACCUAAGAAUUUUAGAUGAAGGAAAAAAGUUAAUAGAAAAAAAAAUUUUUAUUUAUUUAGAAAUAAUAGGUCUAUGUAGCUC